ACCCGCUGAACUUAAGCAUAUCAAUAAGCGGAGGAAAAGAAACCAACAGGGAUUGCCCUAGUAACGGCGAGUGAAGCGGCAACAGCUCAAAUUUGAAAUCUGGCCCCGGCCCGAGUUGUAAUUUGCAGAGGAAGCUUCUGGCACGGCACCUUCCGAGUCCCCUGGAAUGGGGCGCCAUAGAGGGUGAGAGCCCCGUAUGGUCGGCUGCCUAGCCUGUGUGAAGCUCCUUCGACGAGUCGAGUAGUUUGGGAAUGCUGCUCAAAAUGGGAGGUAAAUUCCUUCUAAAGCUAAAUAUUGGCCAGAGACCGAUAGCGCACAAGUAGAGUGAUCGAAAGAUGAAAAGCACUUUGAAAAGAGGGUUAAACAGCACGUGAAAUUGUUGAAAGGGAAGCGCUUGUGACCAGACUUGCGCCGGGCUGAUCAUCCGGUGUUCUCACCGGUGCACCCUGCCCGGCUCAGGCCAGCAUCGGUUCUAGCGGGGGGAUAAAGGCCCCGGGAAUGUAGCUCCCUCGGGAGUGUUAUAGCCCGGGGCGUAAUGCCCCCGCCGGGACCGAGGACCGCGCUUCGGCAAGGAUGCUGGCGUAAUGGUCAU
rnacentral:rRNA from 1 species